rnacentral:lncRNA from 1 species
AGAAGGACUCCAACCUAACCAAGAAAACCUUAGCCGCCUCCUGCUUGAAAAUGAAACCUCACCCAUUUCUUUCCCUUUGAAAGAAUCGAAAAUCUAUCCUGCUUUUGAUUUGGUUUGAGUUCAAUCUCCAAAUAACACCAAAGACAUUUAAUCUCAUAGAUCUAGUUUUAGCUUUAUUUUAAAACAUAGAUUUUCAUCUUCUGACUCCAAAUUCAUUGUUCCAAAUUCAGAAAUAACACCCAAAACUAUCUUGAGUUCUCUUUGAUUCAGAUUUAUUGCAAGAAGAAAGAUGAAUUUGUGAUGAGAUGCUUUGUUCGAGUCGAGGUUUCUUUUGGGGUCAAAGCCGAGGUGCAUGACAAGAUUCUUGGGUUGAGGUCCUAUUAGCAUUUUGUUGCAGACAUUAGUUUGGCUAAUCAAAUGGUCAUGUACAAAACAUAGUUCACAGUUCUUUUGUUAAUAUACUAAGAAGAUUUGCUAUCUUAAGGUCCAUCUCUUCCUCUGUUUUAUUGUCUGAUUAAGUUGUUGUUGAGUUUAACUAUUAAUUGCUUGUGAUUUCUUCCGUUACUAAUUGGUAUUUGGUUAAGUACGAUAUACAAUACUACAUGUUGUUGAUUUAGUUGUUGACGAACAUGGGUUAGGAUAAGGCUAAUUUAAAUGGGUUAUGAGCGUGAUUAAGAAUAUGAUACCAUGGUUUUCUUGCGUGCUUAUCCAUUGCCAGUGAUUGAUCUUUCUUUCUUUUUGUGUUCAUUUCUAUUGUCAAGUAUUAAGUCAUGGUCAUAUGUGAAAUCUUCAUGGCUGACAUGUUUUGAAUAAUAUAUAGUGAGAUAAUUUUGGUAUUGCUGCAUCAAUAAUAAAAAAUGGAAAAACCAGCAGCUCUUUGAAAUUGGGAUUUUGGGUUAACUUUAUUUUAAAUGGCUAAUAGGUCGUGGAGUUUGCUUCAAUGAUAAUGGGACCUUUGAAGUCUAGUAUUGGGACAUCAAUUAAAAAAUAUAGAAGAUUUGGACUUUGUUAUAGUUUAAGGUGAAUGAGCUGCAGUUUCUUUUAGUCAAAUAAAAAUUGAAUUUUAGAAUUCGAUCAUUAAUUGUAGAGUAUUGGUAAAUAUUGGGUUAAGUUAUUUCGAUAGCUAACCCCUUUUAAGGGCUUUAGAUAUAAAUGAGAUUUUUCAAUGUUAAAAAUGAAUAAGUCUUACACUCUAUCAACAAUAAUUUCAUAGUGUAUGUCCUUCAUAGUAACCUCAAAGUACGAAAAAUAAUAUUCGAACAUCGUAGCUUAUUUUAGGCGCGACUUAAUCUAUCAUUAUGAUUGUGUACACGUUUGCGUGCCAUAAUUGCUUCUUUUUAAAAAUAAAAUAAAAAUCAAAGUAUGCGUUCGCGCAACUUUAACCAAACUUUCUUAAUAAUAACAAAGUGUCUUUAAUUGUAUACACGUACGCGUGACAUGAAUUUUGAUGCAUCAAACAAAAUGAGCACACGUACGCAUGACUCGUUUAAAGAUAAUUCCCUAAUUAUGAAUAAUUAAGCAAUUUAAUAACGGUAAAAGGUGAAAUGUACAUAGGUUCUAAAAUGAGUAAUUAAACAAUUUAAUUAAGUCAGGUAUGAUUAAAGUGAUCGUGCUAAAACCACGGAAUCCGGGAAUGCCUAACACCUUCUCCCGGGUUAACAGAAUUCUUUACCCGGUCUUUUGUGUUCGCAGACCACAAAAAUAAAGUCAAAUUUCUUCGAUUUGGGAUUUAAAAUAAAUCGGUAACUUGGUACACCAUAUAAUUAUCCCAAUUGGCGACUCUGAUUAAAUAAAUAAUCCAAUUUCGAUUAUUGUCACUUUAAUUGGAAAAACUCCUUUAUAUCCCUUUUUUGGGUAAAAAGGAGGUGUGACAGCUCUAGCGACUCUGCUGGGGAUAGAAACCCGAAAUCUCUGGUUCAGGGUUCAGAAUUCGAGCUUGUUAAUAUUAUCUAUGCUUGGCUUUAUUGUUUGUUGAUAUUACUGUAUUUGUGGACCUAAUGUGCUAAUUGUCGCUUUGAUAUUAUUUGAACUGUAUUAAACUGUCUUCUUAUGCCUCCUUUCCGAGUCUUCUAAAAUAUGGUGCACAAAUACACGUGGCUCACUUUUCUAUUAGAAGUCAUACCAAAUAGAAUGAGGCUGGAUCAACAACUAGGCCGGAUAGACUUUCGUGCUCCCGAUAUGUUGCCCCCACCUCGGCUCGAGCUGUCCGCUUGGGUAAGCCAGGUCUAAAACACUCCCCCAGGAUUUAAACCUAGAAUAACAUAGCCUCAUGUCAGAUCCCUAGUAAGAACGUUUAUUUGCAUUACAUACAUUUGACUUUGGGGACUCAACACAGGGGUUGGGUUCGUCUAGGACAGGUGUACCUGAAAUAAAAGACCAUCUUGAUGCAUCUUACGUGCUAUUUGUACAUUUGUUUGUUUCGGCUUGUAUGUUGACCGGCUAAGUAAAGAAAACAACAGAAAAACCAAGAGUGAGGUAGGGUAGAGAAUUAAAACCCCGGUAUUUAAAAAUGCCUCGGAACUCUGCCAAAAGUUUUGAAAAACAAAAGAAAAGAAGAAAAUAUAUUUCAAAAAAAAAUAAAAGUGAGUCAAUAUCAUAUUUUUCCGGUUAUGUCAAAACUGACCGAACUACGCGGGUCUAAUUCUCACCGGAUGUGAGAUACGUAGGCAAACAUGAUCGGUUCCGGCCCACAAUUUUUUAAAAAAAUCAAAAAAUAUUUUUCAUUACUUGCUUCUUUAGAAAGUCUUUCUUUUAGACCCCAAUUUUGUUUAAACAACAAAUCCAAAAAUAUUUUCUUUUAAUUUCUUCUCAAAAUCCAAAAAUACUUUCAUUCUUCUUUCAAAAAUUGAAAAGAAAUUCAAGAUUCAAAAAUAUUUUCUUUUUCUUUAGAAGAAUUUCUUUCAUAAAUUCAAAAUAAAAUUCCAAAAAUCCAAAAAUAAUUCCUUUCUUCUUUAGAAGUUUUCUUUCGAAAUUCCAAAAAAAAAAUUCCUUUCUUCUUUAGAAGUCUUUCUUUUCAAAAAAAUUAUUUUUUAAAAAAAUCAAACAAAUCGAAAUCUAGAAAUAUUUUGUUUCUUCUUUUUAAGUCUUUCUUUCGAAAAAAUACCCAAAAUCCAAAAAAAAGAGUUAGUUUAUUUACUUUAUUUCUAAUCUUCCCAAACUACGCAAUAUAUUUCAUGUUCCCACAUGAUACAUAGGCAACCCACAUAAGGUUCGAUCAAAUGAUUUUGAAAAAGAAGAAGAAAAGAAAGUAAAAAAAAGAAUAAUAAUAAUAUGGACCGACUGAGUCCAUUCUAAUAUGUUGUUUGUUUUGAAUUGUGAAUAACGUUUAAGGUGGUCAGUUUAUGGUAAGCUAACAAGACAAAAUCCACAGGAAAAAUGACAACUGACAUCGAAGAUGUUGCAAGCAAUCAUGAGACUCAGGAUCAUAGGGUUCAACAAGAGUCUACUGUGGUUGAGGAAAAUAGAGUACUGAAACAAAAAAUGACUGAAAUGUGUCAAGCAUGGGCCAAUGGCCAAGGACCUCCCUUUUCAUCCCAUGGUUUACCAGAGUUCACACCCAUCUCGACUACUGCCAUUCCGAUCUCGUUGUCUGAUCAAUCCUAUCCACCUGAGUUCAGUCCUUAUCCUAACGGUACGACUACAACUGGAACUUUUGUUGCAUGCUCUCAAAGUUUGCCAUUGACAACCAAUCAGACAACCACUACUGUUAUGCCCGUCUUCACCAUCCCACAACCGACGAUAGUGCAGAGGAAAACUCACGAGUCAUAGUUUGCUACCCAGCAAGAGUAGUACCACUCUCCUUAGUACCACUCGUACUUGUUUUAUCUUCCUGCAAACAUUGAGAAGCCAACCCGAAAGAUGGCACAUGAAGAAAUGUCCCAAAGAUUGAAAAGCUUAGAACAACGGUUGCAAAACAUGCAGGGGUUGGCAGGUCAGUAGGGUUUUGCCUUCAAGGAUUUAUGUAUGUUCCCCGAUGUUCAUUUGCCACUUGGUUUUAAGAUCCCCAAAUUUGAAAGGUAUGAUGGACAUGGAGACCCCAUAGGGCGCCUGAAAAGGUAUUACAAUCAGCUAAGAGGUUCAUGAAGAAAUGAAGAAUUGCUAAUAGCUUAUUUUGAGGAAAGCCUUACGGGUGUAGCCUGCGAAUGGUUUAUGGAUCAAGACACAUAUUGCUGGUAUGUCUGGGAUGACAUAACCCAGGCCUUUGUCAAACAGUUCCAAUAUAACAUCGACAUCGCCCCAGACCGUAAUUCCCUUUCAAACCUGAAGAAGAAACUAACUGAAAGUUUCAGGGAAUAUGCUAUUAAAUGGAGAGAGCAAGCAGCUAGAGUUAAGACACCCAUGGAUGACCACGAGCUAAUCACUGUCUUCCUUCAGGCUUAAGAGCGAGAUUACUUUCAAAAUAUGAUGUCCACAGUUGGCAAAUCCUUUUCGGAAGCAAUCAAAAUUGGAGAAAUGGUAGAGAAUGGACUUAAGACAGGCAGAAUUAUAAGUCAAGCAGAUCUCAAAGCUGCAACCCAGGCUGUCCAAAUUGAAUAUGGUAGUUUUAGUGAUAUAAAUAAGAUGGAUGAAGAAAUCAUGAUGACAUCAGGGUCGAGAAGAGGUCCUAGAAGAACAUCUCAAAGGUAUGACCAGCCUCGUCUGUUUUUCGAUGAUUCCCCUGAGCACUACUAUCCACCUCAGAACCCACAAUACUCUGUUGCUCCACCUCAGUAUGGUGUCCAGCCACCAAGACACCCCAGAAGGCGAGCACCGGCACUGCAAAAUCUCCACCAGCCUCCACAAAAUUUUCAAGUGCCCUAUAACCCACAUCCAAGGCAGAGGUAUAAAGGGGAACAAAGGUUGAAAGAUAAUUUUACUCCAAUAGGAGAGUCCUAUGCAAGCUUGUUUGAGAAAUUAAAGCAUUAUUACAUGAUUGCACCUAUUUGUCCAAAUCAUGUAGAUCCACGUGCAAGAAGCUUUGACCCUUCUAAAAGGUGCAAAUACCAUUCCAAUGCCCUGGGGCACAAUGUUGAAAGCUGUUAGGAUUUGAAAAUAGAAAUAGAAAGGAUCAUCCAGGAAAAACUGAUUGUGAUCCAAGAUAGUGACACCUAGAAUAUCACGCAGAAUCCUUUACCUGCACAUGAUGAUGCACACUUUGUGGGGAUGAUGCCUGGUGACAUGGAGUAUGAGAAUCUUCUCGGGAACUUGCCGACUGAAAUUGGAGAAGUCCAUGGUGAUUUUGAUGAGCAAAUUUGCGGCUAAAUAUCAAGCUUAGCAAUUGAAAAGUCAUUCCAUCCUCACUGGGAAGGAACCUUGGUAGCUUGUUUUGAUGUUUUUUUCUAUUAUCUAGGUUAUUGCAGGGUUGUCAUCCAUAUUUUAUUUGUUUUAUUGAGUCAAACCCUUCUAUCCCUCUAUUCUGUUUGUGUUAGUCUUAUCUGUCUGGUUUUGCUGCUAUUUUCAUUAGCCGGGUUAUAUUAGGGUUGUAACUCGAAUUUUAGGUUGUUUGUCUUGUUGUUUACUCAAUGAAAUAUAGUUUUUCCUUUUGUUUCAUUCCAUGCUUAGUUCUUUUCCCGCUAGUUUUAGUGAUAUGACAUGCAUGUGGAAUUUUUAGCGAGAUCUUAAAAAAUUAAUUUAAGCUUGAAUUGGAUAACUAAGAACAAGUCUUUUUUUAGGAUGAAUAAAGAGUUGAAAUACUUGAGAAUUAAGGUCGAGUAAAAUUCACCUUCAAAUCAUUGUGAUGAUUGGGCUUGAUGAUGUUUAAUCAAUUGAAGCUUGGUCGAAAGUUUGACAUUAAUGGAUGGAAAGUGUCUUUUAACCACGACACACUAAGACGAUAGACAUGUUCAUCAAUGCUAUAAUCACAAAAAGAUAAUAUGUUGGCGUUCUCGAGGCUGGGAGGCCCUUUUUCUGCUACCUAAAUAGUUUAUACCCUUUGUUACCCCUUUUGAGCCUGUGCUAUUUUCUUUGAACACCCUAUUUUGGAAUCAAAUUUAGAGUCAAGAGUCAAAAAAAAGGAAAAGAAAAGUCCAUGUCCCAAGAGUACAAACUGGGGAAAUUCUUAGAAAGUUCAAGUGAAAAAAAAAUAAAGAAAAAAAGAACUGUCAAAGGUCCAUGCCCCUAGAAAAUAGAAGCUGGGGGAACUUGUUUUGAAAACAAUAAAAAAAAAGACAAAGAAAGAAAGAUGAAAAAAAUAGUUAGGUCAGAUGUUUGAACGACGUUAGACCUAAUUCCUUUAAAAAGGAUACGUAGGUAGCCUUACACGGUUCAGUCCAACCAAAUAAGAAUUCAAAAGAAAAAAAAUCUAAAAUUCCUAGUAUCUGAAAUUGGGGCAAAGAUUUUAUUUCACAUUUGAAAGAGUCGAUUCCAAGAGUUGUAAGUUUACAACCCCUUUAGUUUGAGUCUACUUCGAGCCUUAUGCCGUCCUUUUUUUCCAACCCUAUCCAAAACCCUGCCAAAUAAAGACCUCCUGAUAUGCCUUCAAGAAUGUCAAGAGAAGCAUGCAAUGAGCAACGGUUGUCACGCGAUAUAGAACACUGUUAAGUUGCUCACACAAGAAAGCAAAAGAAAAAGAACAAUAAAGAAGAAAAAUGAGAGAUUCUUACUAGUGAAAACCCUCAUGGGCACUGUAAGACGACGGUAAACAGAAAUAAAUAAAUGAGAGAGGCUUGCCAGUGAAAACCCCUCGGGGCAUCACUAGUCGAAAGUGAGUCGUGAAGCUGAUGCAAAGGAUUGGCACGAACAAGCCCGACUUCAAAGUCAUAAGAAUGGUAAAAUGGAAGAUUUGAUCAGAUUGAUAGAUCGGCUGUUAAGUCCAAAAUGCAUGUCAUGAUCAUUAAGGCUAGUUAUUGAGAAGGAAAAAAAACUCCUCUUUCUGUCCUUAUCGACAGGGGCAUUUCUUUUUAAUACUUGUUUUUUUGCAUCAUUGUGUCCUUCACUCUGAGUCAGCCCUUGUCAAUACAAGCAAGAAAAGAUUUCAAAAUCUUUUACCAACUUUUCAAUUUCAUAACGUAAAUUUGGUCAGCAUACUCAGCUGUUACAAUCAACAUGACUUGAGGAUUCAUGCAAAGGCCUCUCCCAAAAGACUCUUGUCAGCCUACUUGGUGCAAGCAAAGAUAACUUAUGAUUCUCUUUGAUAGACAAAUUUCUCAAAAACAGGAAAUCACUGAAGAUAUCAGAAAAAGUUACUUGAGCAAAGAUCUCCAGUCAGGAUAAGGUUGAUUGAGCCACAAAACACCAAUGGCAUGGGAGCGAAACAAUCAGGAUGGAUACAAGAAGUAAAGGUCCCUUGAAAGCAACAACAGAGUCUCCCAACAGUGCAGUCAACUACCAAUGUAGUCGUCCUUCUAAAAGUGAAUGGACACAAAGCGAAACUGCUCAAGACUCAAGGCCACAAACCGACCACCACUUUUUUAAAAUUGACAAAAUUUUCUUUGUUUGAAGUAGGAACAAAGCAGUGCAAGGAAAGUGGCUUAAAAAAAAGAAAAAAGAGAAGAGAAAAAAGAGAAGAGAAGAGCCGACAAAGGGAAGUUUCUAAAAUCGUUGUCUUUAUUUGUCCUGCUAAUGUACAUAAAAUGUUGCCAUUGCACUCACAUUUUUCCUCCUAAGAUAAAAAGCCCUAGUCUGAUGAACUUUCUCCUAGGAUACAAAUCUUAGUCUGAUGAAUCUUUCUCCUAAGAUAGAAGACCUAGUGUGAUGAACUUUCUCUUAGGAUAGAAAUCUUAGUCUGAUGAACUUUUCUCCUAAGAUAAGAAAACCUGAUCUGAUGAAUUUUCUCCUAGGAUAGAAAUCUUAGUCUGAUGAAUCUUUCUCCUGAGAGAACAAAAACAAAAGGACCUAGUCUGAUGAAUUUUCUCCUAGGAUCAAAAUCGUAGUCUGAUGAAUAUUUCUCCUAAGAUAGAAGACCUAGUCUAAUGAACUUUCUCCUAAGAUAAAUAUUUUAGUCUGAUGAAUAUUUCUCCUAAGAUAACCAAAAAAAGACCUAGUCCGAUGAACUUUCUCCUAGGAUCGAAGUCUUAGUCUGAUGAACUUUCUAUUAGGAUCAAAGUCUUAGUCUGAUGAAUUUUUCUCCUAAGAUAAGAAAACCUAGUUUGAUGAAUUUUUCUCCUAAGAUAAUAAAUUAGAAAAUCUAGUCUGAUGAACUUUCUCCUAGGAUAGAUGUCUUAGUCUGAUGAAUUUUUCUCCUAAGAUAUAGAAAAUUGAGUCUGAUGAAGUCUCUCCUAGGAUAAUUUGUUUUUAAAAAAAAAGGAAGUUUGGAUUUGAAAAAAGGGUCAAUUUUUAGUUUUCUUAAGUUAUCAAUCUCUAGUUUUCUUGAAAUCAGGGGCCCCGCCUGGAGAAUAUGGUCAAUUUUUACUUUAGUCAAGCUUAGUUUAUAGUAUUUCGCAAGCUCAAUAUCAAAUCUAGGAGACACACUUCCUAGUUUGGAUUAUUCAAGUUUCAUCCCUAGGAGAUGCACAUCCUAGUCGAGUCUUUAAUUUUAAUCUCAUCAUUGCAUCCUUCGUCAACAGCGUAGGUGAUUUAUAGUUCUGCUAACAACUUACAAAUCUUCCUAUUGCAAACUGGGGCAAAAAAGUUUCUUUUGUUUUAUCUAUUUUGCUAUAGUAGCAGGCGCCCACCUGGAGAACAAGAGAAUUCAUUUCAGAGUUACUUCAAAUUUCAAGCCAGUAGCAGGCGCCCAACUGGAGAACGAGGGAAGUUAUCUCAGAAUUCAACUCAAGAUAGAAGUAGCAGAAGCUCACGACAAGAAUGUGAGUCGUUAGUCCGAGAUGACCCAAAAAAAUAAAAAUAAAAAGUGAAUCCAAAAUGCAGAAGAAGAGAAAGAUGUGAACUGCUCAAGACAUGGCUGAAGUCACGAGCAUUACAUGUCCGGUCUGGAUCCGAAUAAGUCGUGGAAGAAUGAAUCAGCACCUGCAGCUAGCAAAGGUUCAAAUCAAAGUCUGCAUGAAGAACCGUUCAGGAAUCAAGAUCAAGCUUCAGAAGACUAAUAGAUAUGAAUCUUAAUACUUAGUUAGUCUUUUUCAUUUUUGAUUUUGAUGUAAUAACAGGACCACGGACCGGAACCUCGACGGCACCUUAAUCAGCUCUCCACCUCAGUAUAAUCCAUCACUCUUCCUAAUUUUGAACUACAUGUGGACUGAUUCCUUUAUAGCCAAGGAUAUGUAGGCAGCUCAGAUACCAGGACUCAGUCAUAUUCUCCUUUCUUUUAGUUUUUGGUCUCUCUAAAUAAGGGUCGGGUCAAAAAACCUGUCUCGUCGUUCUUUAUCUGAAAACUCUUCGUGUUUCCAGUCAAAGAGGGGCAGCUGUAGACAUGUAAUUUUUUAGCCUCUCAAAGAUUUUACAUAUUAUAGCAUUUAAAUAUUUAGUUUAGGCCUAAUAUCGCUAUUUCAACUAGUUUUGACUCUUUUACUUUAUUUUGUCACAAAAAUAAAAAUUAAAAAACUAUUUUUUCUUUUAUUUAGGUAAUUGAUAUUUUAUCUUGUUACUUUUAGUUUAUCUACCUUUCAUAAAAUUCAAAAAUACAAAAAUAGUUCCAUUUGUUUCCAUUUUUAUCUUUUAGUAUGAUAUUUGAAAAAUACCAAAAAUAGAUUUGUUUUAACGGUUAGUUUUAUUUUAAUAGUUAUUUUACUUAAGUAGGAUUAAUUAGUAAAUGGGGUAGUAUUUUUAGUCUAGUUCAAUGAGAAAGAAUAAAAUUUGUGCUCAAACAAUCCACUUUUUAGGCCCAAUUUUCGGAUUAGCCCAUUAAGCCCAAUACCCAAUGCCCACUAAGCUAACCUUAGAGACCCUUGUAGAUACUGAUCUUCCUCUCUUAACCAUAUAUAAACAAAUACAUACACAGAGACGGAAGGAUUCCCACCUAACCAAGAAAACCUUAGUCGCCUCCUACUUGAAAAUGGAACCUCACCCAUUUCUUUCCCUUUGAAAAAAUCAAAAAUCUAUCCUACUUUUGAUUUGGUUUGAGUUCAAUCUCCAAAGAACACCAAAGACAUUUAAUCUCAUAGAUCUAGUUUUAGCUUUAUUUUAAAACUUAGAUUUUCAUCUUCUGACUCCAAAUUUCUUGUUAGUUCCAAAUUCAGAAAUAACACCCAAAACUAUCUUGAGUUCUCUUUGAUUCAGAUUUAUUGCAAGGAUAAAGAUGAAUUUGUGAUGCGAUGCUUUGUUCGAAUCGAGGUUUCUUUUGGGGUCAAAGCCGAGGUGUGUGACGAGAUUCUCGGGUUGAGGUCCUAUUAGCAUUUUGUUGCCGACUUUAGUUUGGCUAAUCAAAUGGUCAUGUACAAAGCAUGGUUCACAAUUUUGUUUAUUAAUAUACUAAGAAGAUUUGCUAUCCUAAGGUCCGUCUCUUCCUCUGUUUUAUUGUCUGAUUAAGUUGUUGUUGAGUUUAACUAUUAAUUGCUUGUGAUUUCAUCCGUUACUAAUUGGUAUUUGGUUAAGUACAAUAUACAAUACUACAUGUUGUUGAUUUAGUUGUUGACGAACAUGGGUUAAGAUAAGGCUAAUUUAAAUGGGUUAUGAGCGUGAUUAGGAAUAUGAUACCAUGGUUUUCUUGCGUGCUAAUCCAUUGCCGGUGAAUGAUCUUUCUUUCUUUUUGUGUUCAUUUCUAUUGUCAAGUAUUAAGUCAUGCUCAUAUGUGAAAUCUUCAUGGCUGACAUGUUUUGAAUAAUAUAUAGUGAGAUAAUUUUGGUAUUGCUGCAUCAAUAAUAAAAAAUGGAAAAACCAGCAGCUCUUUGAAAUUGGGAUUUUGGGUUAACUUUGUUUUAAAUGGCUAAUAGGUCGGGGAGUUUGCUUCAAUGAUAAUGGGGCCUUUGAAGUCUAGUAUUGGGACAUCAAUUUAAAAAUAUAGAAGAUUUGGACUUUGUUAUAAUUUAAGGUGAAUGAGCUGCAGUUUCUUUUAGUCAAAUAAAAAUAAAUUAUAGAAUUCGGUCAUUAACUGUAGAGUGUUGGUAAAUAUUGGGUUAUGUUAUUUCGAUAGUUAACCCCUUUUAAGGGCUUUAGAUAUAAAUGAGAUUUUUCAAUUUUAACAAUGAAUAAGUCUUACACCCUAUCAACAAUAAUUUCAUAGUAUAUGUCCUUCACAGUAACCUCAAAGUACGAAAAAUAAUAUUUGAACAUCGUAGCUUAUUUUAGGCGCGACAUAAUCUAUCAUUAUGAUUGUGUACACGUUCGCGUGCCAUAAUUUUAUUUUUAAAAAAAUCGAAGUAUGCGUUUGUGUAACUUCAGCCAAACUUCUUAAUAAUAACAAAGUAUCUUUAAUUGUUUACACGUACGCGUGAAAUAUUUUUUGACGCACCAAACAAAAUGAGCACACAUACGCGUGACUCAUUUAAAGAUAAUUCCCUAAUUACGAAUAAUCAAGCAAUUUAAAAGCUUUAAAAGGUGAAAUGCAUAUAGGUUCUAAAAUGAGUAAUUAAACAAUUUAAUUAAAUCAGGUAUGAUUAAAGCGACCAUGCUAAAAUCACAGAAUCCGGGAAUGUCUAACACCUUUUCCCGGGUUAACAAAAUUUCUUACCUGGUCUUCUGUGUUCGCAGACCACAAAAAUAGAGUCAAAUUUUCUCGAUUUGGGAUUAAAAAUAAACUAGUGACUUGGGACACCAUAUAAUUAUCCCAAGUGGCGACUCUGAUUAAAUAAAUAAUCUCAUUUUGAUUAUUGUUACUUUAAUUAAAAUAACUCCCUUAUAUCCCCCUUUCGGGUAAAAAGGAGGUGUUACACUUGGAACAAAAAUGUGUUGGAUAAUAUUUUCCAUAAAAAAAUAUAUUAUUGUCAGACUUCGAGGCAUUCAGAAAUCUAAUGCCUACCCCUUCAACACCUUUCUUCAAAAUCUAAAAGGUCAUUUUCUAGAGGAGUAUUCCUCUAUUUUCAAAUGUGAAGAGGUCUUUUGAAAAACUAAGUCUAUGAUCAACUGGCUGAUGGAGCGUGAUGCUAAUACUAGAUUCUUUCAUACGUCAACCCUCAAUAUAAGAAUAAGGAAUAAAAUCAUGGCCCUAUAGAAUGAUGUAGGGAGUUGGAUGAGAGCAGUAAGAAAUCAAAAACACUAUUAACCACUACUACUCCAAUCUAUUCACAACUGAACACCUGGGCUCACCGAAAAAGCACAAUUUAUAAUUCCAAUACUCUAUCCAAUAGGGAACAAGCUAUUCUGAAUGCCCCCCCCUAAGGAUUAGUGAAAUCAAAGUGGCCAUGUUCUCGUUCAAACCUACAAAGGCCCCUGGACCUGAUGGUCUUCAUCCCUUUUUCUAACAAAGAUACUGGAAUAUCCUUGAAAGCAAAAUAACUCAGUUUUGUAAUCAGAUUUUCAAUACCCUAGAAAUGAAACCUUAAGUUAAUAAAACAUACCUCUAUCUGAUACCUAAGUGUGCCAAUCUACAAUCUAUAAGAAUUUCAGACCUAUAGAGCUAUGCAACACCAUGUACAAAUUGAUUACCAAAAUAAUUGUCAAUAGAAUCAAGCCUGUCCUCCCUUCCAUCAUUGGCCCAAGUCAGGCCAGUUUCUUGUCCAAUAUGAGCCAGUGAUAAUGCCAUCAUUAUCCAGGAAUAUAUCAGUCAUUUUACUAAGAUGAAAGGAAAAAAUUCUAACAUGAUUCUCAAGAUUGACCUAGAAAAGGCAUUUGACAGUUUGGAAUGGUCCUUUACUAGGGACACUCUGGUGUUCUUUGGUUUUCCCCAUAAUAUGACCAAAUUAAUCAUGUAUUGCAUUUCUUCAAGCUCUAUUUCUAUCUUGAUUAAUGGGAGUAGGAUUGACUUCUUUCAUCCUAGUAGGGCUAUCAGGCAAGGGGACCUUAUGUCCCCUUACAUUUCAUCACGUGCAUGGAAAGAUUAUCCAGAAACAUUGAGGCUCAAGUGCAACAUGGUAGUUGGUGUUCCAUCAAAAUUAGCCACACUGGGCCAAAAAUCUUCUACCUAUUAUUUGCUGAUGACCUAACCCUAUUUUCUAGGGCAAACACCAAGAAUUGUGCCACAAUUAUGGAGACUGAUGUAUUGUAGAAUUGCGGCACUUUUGAUACUAAUUACAUAGAUUUUAGCUCGUAUUUUAAAGAAUUUUAAGCUAUUUCUUAUGUAGUUUUGGUUUUUUACAGUAAACCAGACUUGAAGAACCAAGAACACGGAAAAGAUGACAAAAAUCCAUAGAAGGGCAGAAAUGCAGCAGGUUUGCGACUGCAAAAGUGAUGUGCGGGCCGCAGACCAUCCCAACUCUGAGAGUGGAUUUUGCGGUCUAUUGUGCGGUCACAUAACGCUUGUGCGAACCUCAUAAUGACUGCAAAAAUGCAAAAGAGUUUCUAUGAGAAUGACUUUUUGGUACCAAAUGCGGUCACGAAAUCAAUGUGCGUACCGCAUAACAGAAGUGCGGUGGAAAAUUGGACAACUGGAAAAUCAACUCUGUGAAGGAAUUGCAAAUAUGCGGUCCAUGAAAGUGUUCUGCGACCCGUUCUACGGUCACAGACGUGAUCUUCAAGGUUAUUUUUGUCACUUUUUGACCCCAACUUUUAGCCCAUUAUAAAUAGAAUAACUAGGAUUUUUAUGGGAUAUCUUGUCUGAAAAAGAGGCUACACUUAGAGCAUUGAAUACACUAUUAUUUUGAAAGCUUUUGAAGAGAGAAUCUUGUCAUCUUUGUAAGUUUUAUGACUUUAUUUAUUGCUUUUUUCUUGGAUUCUAGUAUGAGUAGCUAGUUUAAAUACUAAGGUUGUGGACCCUAAAUGGGUGUAAUGUUAAUGGGUGUAUACCAUUGAAUAUAUAUAUAUAUGGUUGGUUGGUAUCUAUUCAUUUCUCAUG